GACGAACGCUGGCGGCGUGCUUAACACAUGCAAGUCGAACGAAGCUUGAUUACGGAUUCUUCGGAUGAAGUAUGAUAUGACUGAGUGGCGGACGGGUGAGUAACGCGUGAGUAACCUGCCCUUCAGAGGGGGAUAGCGUUUGGAAACGAACGGUAAUACCGCAUAAUGUAUUUUGACCGCAUGAUCGAAAUACCAAAGAUUUAUCGCUGAAGGAUGGACUCGCGUCUGAUUAGGUAGUUGGUGGGGUAACGGCCUACCAAGCCGACGAUCAGUAGCCGGACUGAGAGGUUGAUCGGCCACAUUGGGACUGAGACACGGCCCAGACUCCUACGGGAGGCAGCAGUAGGGAAUAUUGCACAAUGGGCGCAAGCCUGAUGCAGCAACGCCGCGUGAAGGAAGACGGUUUUCGGAUUGUAAACUUCUGUUCUUAGUGAAGAAUAAUGACGGUAGCUAAGGAGCAAGCCACGGCUAACUACGUG
rnacentral:rRNA from 1 species